CCGGCGACCGGCGCACGGGUGAGUAACACGUAUGCGACCUGCCCCCCGCAGGGGGAUAACCGGGAGAAAUCCCGACUAAUACCGCGUAACGCCGCGGACCUGCAUGGGUCUGCGGCCAAAGGAGGCGAUUCCGGCGGGGGAUGGGCAUGCGGCGCAUUAGCUAGUCGGCGGGGUAACGGCCCACCGAGGCGACGAUGCGUAGGGGUUCUGAGAGGAAGGUCCCCCACACUGGUACUGAGACACGGACCAGACUCCUACGGAAGGCAGCAG
rnacentral:rRNA from 1 species